rnacentral:lncRNA from 1 species
AUUUUCCUGAACAACAGUUUCUAGAUAUGCAUGCUAAKUCCAAAUUUAUGUGCCAAAUUAGUGUCAGAAUUGUUCAUAGAUUAUGUUACUUUUGUCAGCAUCCAUCCCUGCAUAUCCAUCCRUGAUUCCUGGAACUAUGCCUCCAUCAUUAUGUGAAGUUGGUAGCUACUUUUUUUUUUUAAUUGUCUUAAUUUCUUGACUCCUUAGAUCUCUUAAAAACUAGAUGAAGUCUCACUGUAACCCUUCUUCUUUUGGACUUGCCCUCUUUGAUUAAUGUAUUGUUCUGUGCAAAUAUCUGUUCAUUAUGACUUUUUUUAAAWUAAUUUUUAGCAUACUUUAAUAAUCUUUUUAAGGUAUUCUCCAAAACAGUGUGGACUGAGAUAAUUCAGUUGGCCAAAUACUAAUCUACAAUCAUUGUUUUGUAAUAUAAAUGCUCAUAGUGUGAGAUGAGUGUAUUUUUAUAAAAUGAAUUAUUCCUACCUAUCAUGUUUCAGUUGUGCAGUACCUCUGCUUCAAACCAUGUGAAUAUGGAAGUAUUAUUGAAGUAGUUCUUCUGAUAUUAUAACUGAAUAGUAAUACUGAACUUGAUCUUCAGUACACCUCAGCAGGAUCUCACUAAUGUGUUGUUAAUAAUGAAUUACAGCAUUGUAACUUAAAUGGCUGUUUAAAUGCUGAAGCCUUUUGACAUCUGGAAUUCUUCUGAAAUUCUUCAAUGUUGUAUAUAAGGUAUAACACAGCCACAAAGGAAGAGUCUUCCAUGACCCAAAGGAGGAUGAAAGAUUGUUUCUGGAAUGUAAGUGUAAGAAGUGAUACUUGUAGGAAAUAGGUGAUAAGACAUGGUAAGAAAUCCUUGGAAAACCAGUGUUACUGAUGGCAAUAAGAGUGCACAGGCCUUCCAGCGCACUGCACUGCAGGUGCUUACCUGGAAGAAAGACAACUAGGACCAUACCAGGAAGAAAAACAACUUCUGAAUUUCACAAGCCCAGGUUAUCUGAGCCUCAGAAUAGUAUGUGAAUCCUGUCACAGAUUGGUCAUUCUCAAGAAAUCACAGCUUUGCAAGUGCUGAGGGGAAAAAUGUAUUUCUUUAGUGAAGCCACAAUAUAUGAAUCAAAAAUAUAGAGGAAAUACUUUAUUGUGUAAG